UACGUAGGGGGCAAGCGUUGUCCGGAAUCAUUGGGCGUAAAGCGCGUGUAGGCGGCCAGAAAAGUCCGCUGUGAAAACUCGAGGCUCAACUUCGAGCUGUCGGUGGAAACUUUCUGGCUAGAGUCCGGAAGAGGAGAAUGGAAUUCCUGGUGUAGCGGUGAAAUGCGCAGAUAUCAGGAAGAACACCCGUGGCGAAGGCGGUCUCUGGGACGGUACUGACGCUGAGACGCGAAAGCGUGGGGAGCGAACAGG
rnacentral:rRNA from 1 species